rnacentral:rRNA from 1 species
AUGAACGCUGGCGGCGUGCCUAAUACAUGCAAGUCGAGCGAACAGAUGAGGAGCUUGCUCCUCUGACGUUAGCGGCGGACGGGUGAGUAACACGUGGAUAACCUACCUAUAAGACUGGGAUAACUUCGGGAAACCGGAGCUAAUACCGGAUAAUAUAUUGAACCGCAUGGUUUAAUAGUGAAAGACGGUUUUGCUGUCACUUAUAGAUGGAUCCGCGCCGCAUUAGCUAGUUGGUAAGGUAACGGCUUACCAAGGCAACGAUGCGUAGCCGACCUGAGAGGGGGAUCGGCCAAACUGGAACUGAGACACGGUCCAGACUCCUACGGGAGGCAGCAGGAGGGAAUCUUCCGCAAGGGGCGAAAGCCUGACGGAGAAACGCCGCGUGAGUGAUGAAGGUCUUCGGAUCGUAAAACUCUGUUAUUAGGGAAAAACAAAUGUGUAAGUAACUAUGCACGUCUUGACGGUACCUAAUCAGAAAGCCACGGCUAACUACGU